AACGAACGCUGGCGGCAGGCUUAACACAUGCAAGUCGAGCGCCCCGCAAGGGGAGCGGCAGACGGGUGAGUAACGCGUGGGAACGUACCCUUUGCUACGGAAUAGCUCCGGGAAACUGGAAUUAAUACCGUAUGUGCCCUUCGGGGGAAAGAUUUAUCGGCAAGGGAUCGGCCCGCGUUGGAUUAGCUAGUUGGUGGGGUAAAGGCCUACCAAGGCGACGAUCCAUAGCUGGUCUGAGAGGAUGAUCAGCCACAUUGGGACUGAGACACGGCCCAAACUCCUACGGGAGGCAGCAGUGGGGAAUAUUGGAUAAUGGGCGCAAGCCUGAUCCAGCCAUGCCGCGUGAGUGAUGAAGGCCUUAGGGUUGUAAAGCUCUUUCACCGAUGAAGAUAAUGACGGUAGUCGGAGAAGAAGCCCCGGCUAACUUCGUGCCAGCCGCCGCCGUAACAC
rnacentral:rRNA from 1 species